CUCCAUGCCUCGUUGGUUCAAGAUUCUUGUUCUUGAAAAGAUUUUGGAUAAGAUGUCGUCCCAUCUAAUUUGUGGUAAUAUCAGGAAUAAUAAUGCCUUUUUGUUAGAAAAAAGACACCGGCAAAUCCCUCAGCUCAGUAGGCAUCUUAUAAGACUGAGUUAUAUGAACAUGAUAAUUUCAAUGGAAGGUGGACAGAGGGUAGCCCAGUGCCAUGGUCUCCAAGAUCGCCAGACUUGAAUCCAUAUGAUUUUCUCCUGUGGGGUUUCAUUGAGCAACUUGUUCACAGUAGCGUUGUUGAUAAUGUUGAUGAAUUGAGAUUCAGAGUGGAAAGUGUUGCUCAUGAUGUAUAGGACAGUCCAAAUCUCUGUCAGAAUGUGAAGCAUGAUUUGUGGGAGAGAAGGUCUGCUGGCAAACAAUUCACUAGGAUAAAAAAUGUAAAGCAUCCUUAAGCAAUAUUUCUAAAGUGGUCAGGAAAUUUGUUUGAAUGAAUUGUAGGAGUUGUUUGAGUUUCUAUUAGAUCAGUUACAACAAUUCUGAAGAGUUUUUACACAAUUUGACAACAGGGAAAGUUGCUGCUUCUACAGCACAUUUCUAUUAGAUCAGUUACAACAAUUCUGAAGAGUUUUUACACAAUUUGACAACAGGGAAAGUUGCUGCUUCUACAGCACAUUUCUAUAAGAUCAGUUACAACAAUUCUGAAGAGUUUUUACACAAUCUGGCAACAAGCAAAGUUGCUGCCUCUACAGCACAGAUCAAGUCAAUAAUCUCUCCAACAUGAGCUUGUACAGGUAUAAUGGCCUAGUUCACAAGAAAUAGUUGAUAUUGGGUAGAAUAUCUAUUCUAUUCUAAUUUCUAAACAGAGCUGGAGUAUUUUCUCUAAGAUUAGUUACACCGAUUCUGAAGAUAGGGUUUUUACACAAUCUGUCAACAAGCAAAGUUGCUGCCUCUACAGCACAGUAGGAACCGUUCAAUAAUCCCCCAAUUUCAGCUUGUAUAGGUAUAAUAUCCUAGUUCACCAAAAACACUUGGGAUUAGAGAAGCCGACCAAAUUCUUGUUGUCAAUCAUGUUGAGUCUUCCAAAAUUAAUUGAAAAGUACUGAAAGCUAAGUUGCUGACCUGAUAUUGUAUGUUUAGAUGUUGAAAAUAAAAUAUUUGUUUCUUAAAA